AGAGAAACUGCACCUUGAAGCAGGGGAUCCCUGCUGGCGCUUCCUGCUGAACCACAUGUUCACUGCUACCACGUUUCUUCUCUUCCUCUUUCUUGGCCUUUUGCCCGUCUCUCAAGGGUUGUGGAAUUCCAGGGUCACAGCCUGAACCAAUGGGUGGGCUCUGUGAGUGUGUGAGUGCGGCGGCGCGGCGGUACGAAUGGGGGAGGGACACAUUCCUCAGCUCGGCUCGGGCUGCGCGCUGCUACCGGGAGGGGUGAGUCGAUUCUUUUUGAUAUCUUUCCCUCGUGUGCCUAUUUCUUAAAUAAAGGCUUUGUCAUCACCUUCAUUUGCCCUACAUCUGUGUAACAUGGAAAACCUUCUGCGCGUCCUCCACACAGUAGGCAACCAGGCCCACUCUUUCUCUAGGAAAUUAUAUAAAAUUAUGAAAUAAUGGUCCAGAGUUAUUCCAUGAAUUCCUAUGCAGGAAUCAAAAUACCCUCAUUACACUUGUUUUGCUUUCUUUUUAAAGGCAGUUUUUGUUCCUCCAAAAUUUCUAAAAUGGAUGGUUUCUUAUUUUCCAACCAUAAUCUUCACAACAAACAAUGUCGUGUAUUUUUAUGAAGGAAGGUACUUGAUUAUUCGACUUUGAUUAAUUGUUGAAUACUCUGCGCAUAUGAAAUAUCUAAGUAACACAGGUUAAUGUUCCAUAACAGUGUUCAUCCUUAAUUUUCUUUGUGCUGUGCUGUGUCAGACUUGAGCUGGUUUACUGAAGGGCACUGCCACAUUCUGAUAAUCUGAAAUCCAACUCAGAGGCACAAAGAUGUUUUUCCAGAAUUUAUCAAUAAUUUUCUUCUUCACCAUUUCAGCCUUUUCUUUUUUUUUUUUAAUUAAAUUAUUUGUUUAUUUGCUUGUUUGAUUAUUGUUUUAUUGUUGCUGUUAUUUUUGUUGGUUUGAUUUGUACUUAUCUACUUCAUUUUACUUCUAGACUUCUCUGAAUACACUGCCAUUUUUACGCAAACAGACUCAUUCACCUCUCACAAGAAUCUCUCCAUCCUUCAUCCUUCAGACUUGGCUGAAAUUUUUAAGGACAAAACAUCUUUAAUUUGAGAGCAUCUUUAUUGGAGGGAAGGCUUUAAAAUUGAUUCAUAUCAUUAAGCAAAUAUGACUGGUGGUUCCACUUCAUCAGACAUCAACAGUGGCACAAAUGUCCACAUUUUUUUUGGAAACUCAAAUCAGCCACAAAGGAAUUAAAAAUAUCUGCAUCUUAUUUCUUAGUGAAACUUUCAGUAUCAGGGAAAACUAACAUUCCAUGAUUCCAUAUAGUUUCUGUCUAUUAAGUUGUAUUAUUUUAUUACAGUUAUUUACAAAAUCCUCACAAAUAAAGUAUUUCUUUUGCUUCAUAUCAUUUUAAAUUUAUUGGAAAAAAAAAAACAUAUAAAUGUGUUUAAUGGUACUGUACUAUUUUAAUAUUAUUAUUUUAUAUUUAUAAUAAUUAUUAUUGCAGUCAAAAGACAAAGGGCAAAGGAAAUGUCAGAAUCAUUUAAGAAAAGAAUCACAAGAACUGUUCAAAUGAAAUAACCACAAAUAUUUUUUGAGAUUUUUUUUUAAAUGGAUUUUUAUGAAUCUUUAAUUCUAUUAAAUGGAAUAAGAAAACAUUGGAACACUGCGUACAUUGAUAUUAGAUCUUUACAAAUGACACUGUACUAAUGCUACAUAAUCCUGUAUAAUAUGGAAUGGAUAAUCUAACGUAUAAAAGAGGCAAAUGAUUUUGUCAUUGUUGUCCUCAGCAUAAAGUUAUUAACAAAGAAUUUUUAAUUCUGUGAAGAAAUAUCAUUACUUUUUUUUGUUUGUAUGUAUGUAUAAAUAAAUAAAUAAAUAAAUAUAUUUUAUGGCAAGAAAAAACAACAGAUGAUACAGUAGCAAAAUUCUGACCUCAAACUGUACCAGCUACUGUUGUUUAGGACAUCUAGUAUGAAACUUUGUAUUCACUAGACAAGCAUUUAGUAUAAUCUAGAACAAUGCCAAGUACAGUUGGCAGUUACAGAUCUUACUUACGGUUCAUUAAGAUUUAUGAGCUGAAUAUAUUUGUAUGUGGACUAGCAAAACAACCAAAAAAGUAAACAAACAAACAAACAAACAAAAAAACAGCCAACACAAAUACAGUGCUGGUUUUCUCCAGCACCCUGAUCAUAUGUCUAUGUUAGCAACUGAAAGGUGAAGUUCUAAUAAAGAUUCAAAUUUCCCGGUAGUAUUCUUCUUGUGCUUUCCUUAAUUUCUUUUGUUUCUGCCUAAUUUGCUGGGAGUACUUGCAAUCCAGGUUAUAGAUUGUAUAAAAAACAUAUAACUUACAUAAUUUGCACAUUGUUUUGAAAAUCCCUUCAGCCCUUUCUGAAUCAUUAGAAAAGAUAAGUUUUAAUGCCAUACUCUUCAAAAUCAGUAACCAGAAUUUCUGAUUGUGAGAUUCAUCUGCCUACUUGAGCAUCACAGAAAUAAACCAGAAAAUCUGUACUUAUCUUGCCUAACAUAGUAUUUUGAACGACUGGAUGUGUCAAUUAUUGUUUUGAACAAACAUCACUUUUGCUGGUUUUAGCUCGUGAGAUAUGGCAGUACUGAAACACUUGUCAUACAGUAUGUUUUAAAUUGAUAAUUGAAACAUUUAUUAAGAAAUAAAGUCAUUUAAGGUUCCUCAAAGUUCAUUCCAGCUUCAGUUACAACAAUAAUAGAGUGACAAAAUGACAGUUUUAUUGAAAUUGAACUGCAUGUGUAUAUAUAUAUAUACAUGAUAUAACCAUGAAGUGAUUAAAAAAAAAAAGAAUAAUAA
ensembl:lncRNA